UCUUCAUCAGUCUAAACACUGAUGCAGUUUGUUAUCCGUCUGCCUGAUUGCAUAUCUCAUGCUUUAAUGGUCAGCACUUUGGACUGCUACUUACUCUCACUCAUUCAAAUUUUAAGGUUCUAAUAUUACACAAGGCUGCAGAAUUUGUCCUGAAGCAACUGUAUUGCUGAAUGCUAUCCUCUUGACAAGAAAAGUCAGUAAGGCUUAAAAUGUAGGCCAAAUUUAAACGAAAUAGACCCUGCAACCUCACGCCAUGCUGGCAUUAAAAGUCACGAGCGAUGCCUGCAGCCGGGGGUCCGAUUCACAGCGUUAGUCUGAGCUUGCUUCGUUAAUCAAAGUUUGCUUCGUUAAUCUGAGCUCACUUCCCACCGUGCAGAGGGGUGGGGCUGGCACAGAAGUGACAUUGCGGGUUUCCAUGGUAACUGCGAUGCUUCGGAACGGAAAAGACAAAACUGAGAAGAGCAACGGGAUGAGGCAGGGAGCUAACAGCUCUUCAGUGACACGGGCAGAUGGCCCUGUGUUGUUCUGAAGUGACAGAAAGCCCAAAUGUGAUGGACAAGUGUUCUCCUACAGUGGUUCCUUUCUACGCUUGUGACUGAGCAGAUGACAGUGGCAUUGGAGAGGCCGUCAGGAGCCAAGCUGCAGCUACCUGGCUGUCCUUGCCGAUCACAGAUUGCAUCUGCAGCAAGGAAAGAGGAGACUUGACAACGCCUAACAAUUAACCUGCUUCACCUGCUAAUCUGCUGUGAAGAUGAGGACCUUGAAGUUGAUCUGCAAUCAAAGAUAAAACCCUAGCAGCUACUGUAGCGGCUCCUUUCAACCAAUAUGCUUAAAAAAGAAAAAAAAACCCCUCUCAUGUCUCCCUUACACAGCUGUUCAGCUGGUUUGUAUUUUUCUGCACUGAGGCUGCUUUCCUGGCCUUCCCUCUUCCUAGGAAAUUGCUGGAGAGCAACCCAAGCUCGGGACUUGGCUGGCAGCAGCUGGCUCCAGCUGCAGGAGGAAGGACGGAGACGUUUCUUGCCACUGUUGCUGAGUGCACGUAGGAAGGAAAACAGCUCUCAGAGGAUUUACAGCCCUUGCCACACACUGAGUCACAGUGCUGAGGAUUCAAUCACAGGAGCCCUCCAGGUCCUUGAAACGCUUCUUUCAAUGAGCAUCCACUCCAUCACACCAAGGCUGAGCAUAAACAGACCUUCCUAUCCACAUGCUCAUCUCAGCCACCAGUUGGGUUUUCCUGAUAGUGCCACAGCAGGCUGCAGAGGAGCGGGGCCACACAGCCAGCUUCUGCUACAACUUCAGCACUAGCGAUCAAAUUAAAUUCCCCGAGAGGGCGACGCUUUAAGGGGUCAAACUCCAGAAGGCUUGCCUGAGGGCUUGAAAAAAAAAACAACACAGCACAGCUCAAGGAGAGUCUGUGGGGCUGCGUGAGGAACGCAAGGUGGAGAGGCCGCGGAGCUGAACACGCCGAGGAGGGACGGUGGGGAGACCUCGCUCCGCAGCAGCCCCCAUGGCGGGAGGUAACCGCCCCUUGUGUUUGGGGCAGGCAGCACCACGCGGGCCGGGCUCGGCCCCUCAGCUCCCGCCGCGAUGAGCCCGCCGCGGCCAUCCCCGCUAGCGGCAGCAGGGGGCAGCGCAGCCCCGCGUGGGCUCGGCCCUGAGCUCCGCCGCUCCCGCCAGCAGCCCCGCGUCUUCCAGGGCGGCCUGGGGUCCCGCGGUGCCUAUGGGAAUGGCGGGCGGUGACCGCAGCGCUUGGAUGCUGAGGGACGUCUAACUGCCUCGCAGGCCUGCAGCGUUAGCAUAAACCCGUCUGCACAGCUGCUUUCCCUUGUUGGAUGGCCAGGUCAGGCCGUUCUCUGUGGGUUACAGGAGUUACCAGUCUACCAGUGUGGCAGAAAAAUAACGUACAGAGCUGAUACCCAGAAUAAAGCCAGAUGACCUUAAAGCUAAUUAUACAGGGCGAGAAAUUGUGACCUGAAUUGUUCUGUGUGGACACCGCUUAAGGUAUCUGUUGGAGUCUGAGCUAGUUUUACCUCGUAUAUAUCAUUCAGCAAUAACAAAGUUUUCUGUUUGCUCCUGGUCACUAGGAGUGGAAAUAGAAGUGAAGGGAACGAUGGACUUUUAAACCCUCUGUCUCACUGUUUUCUAAUCUUUUAGGCUUCAGUGCCCGUUAGAGCACAGCUGAGCACAUUCUUAGGGCAGCAUCCCUUUUCCCUGGUGCUGUAGCUGUUUCAACUUCACAAGAUGUUUUGUCUCAGACGGCACUUUUGUGUGAAUUGGGUUUAGUGCAAGCAGAGCAAGGAAGUUUGGCAUCUGAGUCUGCAGUCAGUGGGUGCUGUGGUCCUUUGUGUCACUGGUAGGAGUGGGCUGUGCAGCUUUGGGGACUCUCGAGAUGUAUCCGUAGUAGCAUCACAGGUGUGGCACAAGGAGAAAUUUAGGAAUUGGUGCUUCUGUAUGCUAUGGAAGCAUCCAGAAGAAAUGUGUGUGCUCUCCAUCUGUGUGCAGAAGAGUCACAGAGUUGAUGAAUCACUGAGAUUGGAAGAGAUCACUAGGAUCAUCUAGUCCAACCACCAGCCCAUCCCCACCAUGCUCACUGACCAUGACACUCAGUGCCACAUCCACACGGUUCUUGAACCCCUUCCGAGACAGUGACUGCACCACCUCCCUGGGCAGCCCGUGCCAGUGCAGCACCACUCUUUCUGAGAAGAAAUUUUUCAAACAUCCAGCCUGAGCCUCCCCUAGCACAACUUGAGGCCAUUACCUCUCAUCCUAUUGAUGUUACAUGGGAGAAUAGGCCGACCCUCACUUCACUACAACCUCCCUUGAGGUAGUUGUAGAGAGUGAUAAUGCCUUCCUUGAUCCUCCUCUUCUCCAGUCUGAACAAUCCCAGUUCCCUCAGCUGCUCCUCAGAGGGUUUGCUGGGCAGAUCCAUACACUGCUGGUUAGUGGUGGAUAUUUCCUAACAUGCCUUGGCUGGAGGGGAACCACAGACCCUGACUAAUGAAUGCAGCACCUGGGGCUGUGUGUGGCUGCCUUCCUGCAGUGGCUAGCUUAAGAAUUGUCCUUAGCACCUAGAGAAGGGGAGUCUUACAGCACCCAGCACUGGAUGCUAACUUUGGCUGGUGAACCUUGCUGGGCCUGCUCUCCAGCCAAAAAAGAGACUUCUAUUCUGUGGGGGCAGAUGGAGUAUAGUGCCCUGAGGGAAUGCUUCUUGUCACUGGGGUGUUGCUGGAAGUUCUGGCGGAUGGUUCAGGUGCUCAGCAGAGUGGUAUGUAUUCAUCCUCUCCGGUACAGUCAUAUCGUCGUUGGUCUCAGGUUUACUGGCUGUCCCAGGCAUUGCUCUUUGACGGUAUGCUCAAGGACCUUUUACUGCCUUUUUCUGAUUCUCCCCUAUGUUGUAUAGACUGUUUUAAUCUUUCAUUUGUUUAUUAAUGGUGAUGGCCAUUGCCACUUAAAACAGAAAGAAGAAACAGCUACAUUCCAAAUGAAAUAAAGCAAAAGCAGUGUAUAUCUUUUAAUAAUGUUGUUUAAAGCUGUAUAUGUGCAUACUUCUUUAUAAGCCAUUAUUGGUAUUUAUUUUUAAAACCA